GACGAACGCUGGCGGCAUGCCUAACACAUGCAAGUCGAACGAGACCUUCGGGUCUAGUGGCGCACGGGUGCGUAACGCGUGGGAAUCUGCCCUGGGGUACGGAAUAACAGUGAGAAAUUACUGCUAAUACCGUAUGAUGACGUAAGUCCAAAGAUUUAUCGCCCUGGGAUGAGCCCGCGUAGGAUUAGCUUGUUGGUGAGGUAAAAGCUCACCAAGGCGACGAUCCUUAGCUGGUCUGAGAGGAUGAUCAGCCACACUGGGACUGAGACACGGCCCAGACUCCUACGGGAGGCAGCAGGUGGGGAAUAUUGGACAAUGGGGCGAAAGCCUGAUCCAGCAAUGCCGCGUGAGUGAUGAAGGCCUUAGGGUUAGUAAAGCUCUUUUACCCGGGAAGAUAAAUGACUGUACCGGGAGAAUAAGCCCCGGCUAACUCCGUGCCAGCAGCCGCGGUAAU
rnacentral:rRNA from 1 species